UGUUAUUAAUAAGAAGAGAGCAGGGAGGCAGGGCAGCUGCCAGAGGAGCAGUGCGGGAAGGGACCUAAAAGCUUCCUGGAAAUAUCAGGGGAGGGAAAAUGGAGACUCCCUGGAGCUUCUUGUUGGAAAAGGUGUUUGCUUGGCUCCUCCUUCUCUCACCCCAGAGUUCAGAACAGAUCUCACCCGGACGGACGGACAGACGGCUUCCCAGCGUCUCCACAGCCCACUCCAACCCCUUGCUACCAUGGCGCAGACUCAGAUCCCCGAGUUCUGCUCUUGCUCGCUCUCUCUAGACUGUUGACCUACCUACUACUCUCAAACCUAUGUGAUGAGAAUGCCUGCAUUUCAUUGUAUCUGUGGUGGAGAGCCCUGAGCCAUAAGGACCAGAUCUCCAUCUAAGCACUCACAAGCAAUGGGGAAACAGAGCCUGAACUGGCCAUCUCCUGUAACCAGGUGUGACCCUCCUACAGCUGAGGGCUGAUUCUUCAGACCCCGCCUUCCA